AAUGGUCUGAGUGCGGCUCGUUUAACCUGCGCAUUGUAAACCCAAAGCCAUCCGGGGCCGCUUUGCCUUUUGCCACUGCAUUUUAGCCACCCAGGCUUGCCGUAGACAAACCACACGCUACGUCAGCGGGACGCUUAAAAAAACACACACACACACACAACGGAACUAUGGCGACAGGUAACGACAGCACGACCGGUGGACGAGGAGUAGUUUGGUUCAACGACGAAACAAUUUCACUUCUCCAGAGACGGGGCGAGGAAAACAUCAACCGGAAACUGUCCACGACGCUCAGAAACACAAAGGUUUCCCUACAGUUUUCAGGACAAAUGAAAGCGAGAGGCUUUAACAGGACCGCUGUCUCGGAUUUACCUGCGACUCCGUUAACUGGCGACUUCCGGCCGAAAGCAUCUGUGGCUGUAGUGACAACGGCUGUCUUCAAGCAGGAAGAAAUGACCUAGCUGUCCUCGUGAAUGUCUCUUUUUCAGUUUUCUAUUACAAUAUGAAAACACAUUGUAGCAGGCGGACACGAUGAGCCAGGCUGUGGGUCAGGAGGUACAGCGGGACGUCCAUUAAUCGGAAGAUGAGCGGUUCGAUCCCCGCCUCCUCCAGUCUGCAUGUUGAAAUAUCCCUCAGCAAGAUAGUGAACCUCAAAUUGCUCCCGAUGGCUGUGAGCAGCUGGUGCAGUGGGAGUUCACCUGCACUUCAAAGAAACCCAACUGCAGACUAUUUUGGAGGUGUAACUGCAGAGUGACACAGACACACCACCGCACAAGUAUAAAUGCUCACAAAGGCGUAGGCCUUGUGCUAUUGGAUUUAUCGUGAGGCAGAUCCUACGCCACAGGUACGGCGGGGAUUCAACGCAGAACUAUAAAUUCCCUUAGGGUGAGGAGCUCGGACAUCCACAGAGAGCUGGGAGUAGCACUGCUGCCUCUUGGAGUCAAAAGGGGUCAGACCCAGAACAUGCAGGAGGGAUUAUAUAUCUAAUCUGACCAGGAAACACCCC